GUUAGAUUUGGAGAGGCUUGUUUUGGCUGCUGGUCCCCUAGGCCUUAUGCAAGCAUGCCUUGAUGUUGUUCUUCCUUACGUUAAACAAAGAGAGCAGUUUGGUCGUCCAAUUGGAGAAUUCCAGUUUAUACAGGGAAAACUUGCCGAUAUGUAUACGUCUUUGCAAUCAUCAAGGGCCUACGUUUAUUCUGUAGCGAGGGACUGUGACAGCGGAAAAGUUGAUCCCAAGGAUUGUGCUGGAGUAAUAUUAUGUGCAGCUGAAAGAGCAACACAAGUUGCUCUGCAGGCCAUACAAUGCUUAGGAGGCAAUGGGUAUGUAAACGAGUAUGUAACCGGUCGACUACUCCGAGAUGCAAAACUAUAUGAAAUAGGUGCAGGUACUAGCGAAGUAAGAAGGAUGAUCAUCGGUCGCUCACUGUUCAAAGAACAAUAGGAGACAACUUUUACUCUCAAUUGGAUUGCUUGAGAGAGCCAUGAAAGUCGAUAAUACUCGAUACUCAUGAGGCCCCAGAGCAGGUUCUUAAGAUGCUAAGGUGAUUUGAUGAUUGAGGUCUUUAUCUACAAUGUGUAAUUUUAAGGGAACAUUGUUCAAAUUUGUCA
rnacentral:misc_RNA from 1 species